rnacentral:rRNA from 1 species
AUUGAACGCUGGCGGCAUGCUUUACACAUGCAAGUCGAACGGUAACAGGCCGCAAGGUGCUGACGAGUGGCGAACGGGGGAGUAAUGCAACGGAACGUGCCCCGUCGUGGGGGAUAACUACUCGCAAGGGUAGCUAAUACCGCAUACGAUCUAUGGUUGAAAACGGGGGACCGUAAGGGCUCGCGCGAUUGGAGCGGCCGCUGUCAGAUUAGGUAGUUGGUGAGGUAAAGGCUCACCAAGCCAACGAUCUGUAGCUGGUCUGAGAGGACGAGCAGCCACACUGGGACUGAGACACGGCCCAGACUCCUACGGGAGGCAGCAGUGGGGAAUCUUCGACAAUGGGCGCAAGCCUGAUCCAGCAACGCCGCGUGCAGGAAGAAGGUCUUCGGGUUGUAAACUGCUUUUGUACGGAACGAAACGGCUCUGGUGAAUCUCCGGGGCUAAUGACGGUACCGAAAGAAUAAGCACCGGCUAACUACGUG